CAUUUUGAAAAAACGAUUUUGUUGACGCGGCUGUCACAAAAAUUAAAUUAACUUUGACAACAUCAAAAUAUAUUAUGCUAAUAGACAGAUUUAGUAGAUUUUGCUGUCCCAGUUUUUUUUCGGCACGAGAGUACAUACAUACAUACGUACUAUCCGAGCAAAUAUAAGCGUGUUAAAAACUGCAGCCGAGGAUUCCGACAGAAUAAACAGGUUGUAUAUAUGCGACAGUCUCCCAAAAUUAACGUUUGCAUUUAAAACUUGGUGGAGGAACAAGAAGAAAAUACAAGUUAAGUUAUUAGACUUUUUAACAAUAAAAUGGAGGACUCCUUGAAAUAUGAAGAUAUUAUUGAAAGUCACAGAAUUGGUUUAAGCAACGGGAAGAACCCAUUAUAGUGAAAUUCGUGAGUUCUCAAAGCAAACGUAAAUUAUUAAAAAACGUCUCAAAGCUAAAAGGCACAAACAUUGGUAUAUCUGAGGACCUAAGUAAAACAACGGUUCAACUGUAUCAAGCGGCUUCCCAGAAACAUGGAAAAUCAAAUGUUUUUAUUCGAUCCGGACAGGUUUUUGUUAAAAUGGAAGAUAAUAAAAUUACAAAGGUCUUUAAAAUUGAGGACGUAUAGUAUCUUUUGUACGAUUUACUAGGAAUUUUCUUUUGGCAAACCUAUAAAUAAACCAUUUUUCUUUCAUUAAUUUUUAUAAAUUUUCUCUUCAUUUAAGCUUUUUUUGUAAAAUAAAGGACACAAACGGAACAAUACUAUUAUAGGAUUAAUGAGAGAAUUGGAUCUGGACUAGACUAUAGUUAUGCUAGACUAUAUAAGGGCGGUUGAUGAGUUUGGUGGACUGGGGACGAAGGUGUUGAAUGGAGUAAACAGAGAUAAUAAGCCUCUUGGGAUUCUGCCCUGUUAUAGACCACCGUCGGCGGAAAUGGAUUUUUUUCUUGAAAAUAUAAAAAACAUUAUUUCAAAAUAAACCAAGUAUACAAUUUAUAAAAACAACUAUAAAUUAUAAAAUAUUAAAUCAAUUGUUAAAAAACAAAAA